rnacentral:rRNA from 1 species
GAUGAACGCUGGCGGCGUGCCUAAUACAUGCAAGUCGAGCGAACAGACGAGGAGCUUGCUCCUCUGACGUUAGCGGCGGACGGGUGAGUAACACGUGGAUAACCUCCCUAUAAGACUGGGAUAACUUCGGGAAACCGGAGCUAAUACCGGAUAAUAUAUUGAACCGCAUGGUUCAAUAGUGAAAGACGGUUUUGCUGUCACUUAUCGAUGGAUCCGCGCCGCAUUAGCUAGUUGGUAAGGUAACGGCUUACCAAGGCGACGAUGCGUAGCCGACCUCAGAGGGUGAUCGGCCACACGUGAACUGAGAAACGGUCCAGACUCCUACGGGAGGCAGCAGUAGGGAAUCUUCUGCAAUGGGCGAAAGCUUGACGGAGCAACGCCGCGUGAGUGAUGAAGGUCUUCGGAUCGUAAAACUCUGUUAUUAGGGAAGAACAAAUGUGUAAGUAACUAUGCACGUCUUGACGGUACCUAAUCAGAAAGCCACGGCUAACUACGUG